rnacentral:rRNA from 1 species
UACGUAGGGUGCAAGCGUUUGUCCGGAAUUAUUGGGCGUAAAGAGCUCGUAGGCGGUUUGUCACGUCGGAUGUGAAAACUCGGGGCUCAACCCCGAGCCUGCAUUCGAUACGGGCAGACUUGAGUUCGGCAGGGGAGACUGGAAUUCCUGGUGUAGCGGUGAAAUGCGCAGAUAUCAGGAGGAACACCGGUGGCGAAGGCGGGUCUCUGGGCCGAUACUGACGCUGAGGAGCGAAAGCGUGGGGAGCGAACAGG